rnacentral:lncRNA from 1 species
UCAUCCAGACUGGACCCCAUCAUCCAGACUGGACCACGCCAUCCAGACUGUGUCCCCAUCAUCCAGGACUGGACCCCGUCAUCCAGACUGGGCCCCCGUCAUCCAGACUGGACCCCAUCAUCCAAACUGGGCCCCCGUCAUCCAGACUGGACCCCCAUCAUCCAGACAGGAAUCCCAUCAUCCAGACAGGACCCCCCAUCAUCCAGACUGGACCCCCAUCAUCCACACUGGACCCCCGUCAUCCAGACUGGGUCCCCAUCAUCCAGACUGUACCACAUCAUCCAGACUGGACCCCCAUCAUCCAGACAGGACCCCCAUCAUCCAGAAUGGACCCCCAUCAUCCAGACUGGACCCCCGUCAUCCAGACUGGGCCCCCAUCAUCCGACUGGACCCCCAUCAUCCAGACUGUACCACAUCAUCCAGA